GUUCAGUCGUGUGCUCUUAUGAACUCAUGAGAUGUUUUAUUUUAAAAAAAGCAUGUAUAUGCAUAUACAUAGAUAGUAGGGAGAGGAAAACUGUUAAUAGACAUCAUAUAUGUAGAAAAUCCCAAGGAAUGUACAAAAAUACUACUAAAAACUAAUAAGUGAAUUUAGCAAGUUCAUAGGAUAUGAUGCAAGAUCACUAAACAAAACUCAGCUAUAUUUCUAACUAAUAAGAAUUAGAAAUUGAAAUUUUUUAAAAGCACUAUUUAUAAUCACAUCAAAAACAUUAAACACUUUAGGGAUAAAUGUAACAAAAUACAUACAAGAUUUUGUGUAUCGAUGAGAUAAAAUCUAAAAUGAAGAGAUGCGCUGUGUCCACGGAACGGAAGACUGAUUAUUACAAAGAUGUCCGUUCUUUCCAAAUUGAUCUAUGGAGUCAACACAAAGCCAACCAAAAUCCCAGCAGGCAUUUUUUUUUUUUAAAGAAAUCAGUAAGAUAAGUUUAGAAUUUAUAUGGAAGUGCAAAGGACCUAAAAUAGCCAAAACACCUUUCAAAAAGAAGAAGUUGGAGGACUCACACUGUCUGAUUUCAAGAUUUACUAAGAGCUACAUAUAAUCAAGUGAGUGUGGUAUUGGGGGAAGAUUGGUCACAUAUACAUCAAUAGGCAGAAUAAGAGUUCAGAAACAGACCCUUACACAUAUUAUUUGCUUUUUAAAAAAUGUUUAUUUUUGAGAGAGAGAAAGCAUGGGGGAGGGGCAGAGAGAGGAGACA